UGUUCAUUGUACAUUGGUCCGUUUUUGUGGGCUCGCUAUGUUGCUAUGUAUUUUUGAGUAAAGUACGUUGAUGACUCAUAUCUGCCGUCCUGCGCCUGACUCUCUACACCAGCAUCACACGGGACGAUUACAAUUGAGAGGGGUUUCCCCCCGUUUGAUGGCAACACCGCCAACCUGACCAUGGUGGAUCGGUUCUCCAAAGCCGCCCACUUAAUUCCUCUCCCCCAAACUACCCAAAGAGACGGCCCAGCUCAUGUUGCAGCACGUCUUUUGGAUCCAUGGACUGCCCGUGGACAUGGCCUCCGACCGGGGUCCUCAGUUCUCGUCCCAGUUCUGGAAAGCAUUCUGCACACUCGUUGGGUCAUCGGCCAGCCUGUUCUCUGGGUUCUACCCCCAGUCCAACAGCAAGUUGGAGGAAGCCAACCCAGCGUUUGUCGCGUCAGCUCCUGGUUUUUCCCAGCCUUUUUUUUCUCGCCCUCCUAGUUUUUGACCCUUGCCUGUCCUGACCCUAAACUCGCCCGCCUGACCACUCUGCAUGCCCCUGAGCCUGACUGACGUCCUGUACCUUUGCCUCUAUUGUAGUAAUAAACAUUGUUACUUCGA